AUUUAAGUAGUUUAAAUAAAAUGUUGAUUUGUGGUGUCAGUGAAGUAGAAAAUCUACCUUAAAUC
rnacentral:tRNA from 1 species